UUCAUGAAAUCUGGGAUAAAAGCUUUUAUUUUAUGGUUAGUACUAAUUGAGUAGUUACGGGAUUAAACGUAGAUGGCCAAUAAAAAUAAACUGUGGUAGAAUCUUAUUUACUUCGCUGAAAUAAUAUUAGUGCAUUUAGAAACAAGAUGACUUUUUAGAUUUCGGGUUGAAUAAUCUCUGGGUCAGUAAACUCGACCAUUUCAUUUCCAAGUCGGCAGGACUGAAGUCAGUCUCGGUGAUUCAGCUCCAUUUUCUUAUACUAAAGUUCUCGGUGAAGAUAAUCACGAGAGGCGAACACUCAGUCCUCGUGCUUUUUAACAAAUUUUUGAAAGCGUCCAACGGGCGCUUUUUUUUGCACGGGCAAAGCCCGUUUUUUUAUUCCGCCAUUUCGAUUCGGCUACCACGAUCCGAGGAUCGACGCUCGACCAGGCCCGCCAGUUCCUGGCAGUUAAACGGGACGAGAAGAAAAUCUGGCCUGCUUGCGUUCGUUCGCGUUCGAUCUAGCAGCGUACCAGUUUGCCGACGCCUCCCCCGCACCUUUAUAUCGGCCGUUGGUGAAAUCGAGCUACCCCUGUAGACGCUUGUGAACAGCGUAGCGAUGCAUCCCAGGUGGUGACGACCGGCCCUGCUUAACCGUCCCGAGAUUUUUUUUCAUCGCACGCCACCGGCGUGUCCCUCGGUAGACGAACCGGUCAGCAUAACCGCAAAUCAAACCCUCCGCAGGUAUGUUUAAUUCCUGGCCAUCACAACACUACAACACUUACACAUACACACGUUCAUUGAUUAACGAAAAAAGAAAUGAAUACAUAAAAAUGAAUCUAAACUGAGUUACCUAGUUCUAUUCAUUCAACCAAAGCUAAGCCUUGAGGGUCUGUAGUCCGCCCGGGUGAUCAUACUUUACGUUACGUUUCCGAUACUUUUACCGCUCACGCUCUGCUUUUGAUUCACCUUUGAUCAGUCUACCUCAGUCGAUUUGAAUUUUGCAGCCAUCGUUAAGCGUUUAAUUACCUAACAACCGUUCAUAACACCUGAGAGAAUUGCACUCAUGCUUCCAGCAGCUUAGUCGGGCAAAUUAAUAAAACACGAGCAGUGGUCUCUCCGAAACGAGAGUGGCGCUUAAAUCACUGGUUUGCGACAAUUUUCUUGGCGAAAUCGAGAACG